UACGGGGGGGGGUAAGCGUUGUUCGGAAUUACUGGGCGUAAAGGGCUCGUAGGCGGCCAACUAAGUCAGACGUGAAAUCCCUCGGCUUAACCGAGGAACUGCCCUCCAAACUGCUUUGCUUGAGGCCGGGAGAGGUGAGUGGAAUUCCCAGUGUAGCGGUGAAAUGCGUAGAUAUUGGGAGGAACACCAGUGGCGAAGGCGGCUCACUGGACCGGUUCUGACGCUGAAGCGCGAAAGCGUGGGGAGCAAACGGG
rnacentral:rRNA from 1 species